UCCAGGACGCUGGGAACCCCAAACAACGAUGUGUGGCCGGAUGUUGAGAGUCUGCCGGACUACAAAAACACUUUUCCCAAAUGGAAAUCUGGGAACCUCUCAUCCAUGGUGAAAAACCUGGACAAGAAUGGGCUGGAUCUGCUGGCGAAAAUGCUGACCUACAAUCCCCCCAAACGGAUCUCUGCCCGCGAGGCCAUGACGCACCCUUACUUCGACGACUUGGACAAAUCCACCCUGCCAGCUGCCAACAUCAACAAAAUCUAAACUGCAUACUGACUUUGCUUAUUGACACAUACCAUCUGUGACUCUGUAAAUAUGUGUAUGUGUAUUUGUGUGUCUGUGUGAGGAAAAAGUGUCAAUCUUUAAUAAAACUGCACUUUUUUUCUUUU